AUUUUUAUUUGUCAUCCUUAACAUUUUCCUUACCCCGUCUCUUGGCCCUUCUCCGCGCUCUAUAUCUAUUUCACCAUGUAGUGAAGCCUCUGCGAUUAACUCUUUUGCUGCGUCAGCAUGUCCGUAUCUUGCUGCAAUGUGCAAUGGAGUAUCGCCAUUGACAUUGACCUUCAGUAACAGUGACGAACAAAUGCCAAGUACCUCUUUUACAAAUUCGGAGGAUCUUUCACUUUGAGAGGUAAGGUAAAUAUGCAAUAUUGUAUUUUUAUUUGGGGUCUCCAGGCUAUCAAGAGUCGAUCCAUGCUCCUUGAUCAAUGGAUCAAGAUUGCCUUCUUCUGCCGCCUUCUGUAAGUCGGCACGAAUGAAUUUGUUAGUAGUAUUUGAGCUCCUCAUGUAGCUUAGCUCCUGUUGAUGGAUUGCAGAGUGACGAGGCCAGAGUGAACAGAGACUUUACGGGCAAGGUCUAAGACUUGGCACAAUCUACUAAACUUAACAACUCAAUAAAGGAUAGCAAGAUAUGAUAACAAGUGCUGAAGAGUGAUGAAACUCUCACGUUGCAUCGUCCAUAUUCAAAGUCAGGAUCUGCUAGAAAGGACGGAGCAACUGCGCUUGGCAUGCAGCGGCGAGUGAGGAGCGACAGAACACCAGCAGCAGAGGAGGUGCGCAAGCUUGAGAGGCGGGGGAGAGAAGAAUAGAGUUGGUGGCUUGGAGGAGGUGACGACGGCAAGGGCUCGAGGCCUAGAAAAAGAAAUAGAAAGAGUAUGGCGAUGAGACAAGAGGAAACAGGGGAGGCACUACUGCUAGCUUAACAGGGAUAUGCACGGUUUCGAGUCUCA
rnacentral:misc_RNA from 1 species